CAGCAGCCGCGGUAAUACAGAGGGGGCAAGCGUUGUUCGGAAUUACUGGGCGUAAAGGGCGCGUAGGCGGCCUUCUAAGUCGAACGUGAAAUCCCCGGGCUCAACCCGGGAACUGCGUCCGAUACUGGAAGGCUUGAAUCCGGGAGAGGGAUGCGGAAUUCCAGGUGUAGCGGUGAAAUGCGUAGAUAUCUGGAGGAACACCGGUGGCGAAGGCGGCAUCCUGGACCGGUAUUGACGCUGAGGCGUGAAAGCCAGGGGAGCAAACGGGAUUAGAUACCCCGGUAGUCCUGGCCCUAAACGAUGAAUGCUUGGUGUGGCGGGUAUCGAUCCCUGCCGUGCCGAAGCUAACGCAUUAAGCAUUCCGCCUGGGGAGUACGGCCGCAAGGCUAAAACUCAAAGGAAUUGACGG
rnacentral:rRNA from 1 species